rnacentral:rRNA from 1 species
AUGAACGCUGGCGGCGUGCUUAACACCUGCAAGUCGAACGGGAAUUAUUUUAUUGAAACUUCGGUCGAUUUAAUUUAAUUCUAGUGGCGGACGGGUGAGUAACGCGUGGGUAACCUGCCUUAUACAGGGGGAUAACAGUCAGAAAUGGCUGCUAAUACCGCAUAAGCGCACAGAGCUGCAUGGCUCAGUGUGAAAAACUCCGGUGGUAUAAGAUGGACCCGCGUUGGAUUAGCUGGUUGGUGGGGUAACGGCCCACCAAGGCGACGAUCCAUAGCCGGCCUGAGAGGGUGAACGGCCACAUUGGGACUGAGACACGGCCCAGACUCCUACGGGAGGCAGCAGUGGGGAAUAUUGCACAAUGGGGGAAACCCUGAUGCAGCGACGCCGCGUGAAGGAAGAAGUAUCUCGGUAUGUAAACUUCUAUCAGCAGGGAAGAUAGUGACGGUACCUGACUAAGAAGCCCCGGCUAACUACGUG